rnacentral:rRNA from 1 species
UACAGAGGGGGCAAGCGUUAUUCGGAAUUAUUGGGCGUAAAGGGCGCGUAGGCGGCAUGCCAAGCGUGUGGUGAAAGCCCGGGGCUCAACCCCGGGUCGGCCGUGCGGACUGGCGUGCUCGAGCACUGUAGGGGCGGGUGGAAUUCCGGGUGUAGCGGUGGAAUGCGUAGAGAUCCGGAGGAAGACCGGUGGCGAAGGCGGUCUGCUGGGCAGUUUCUGACACUGAGGCGCGACAGCGUGGGGAGCAAACAGG